rnacentral:rRNA from 1 species
GAAUUUUGGACAAUGGGCGAAAGCCUGAUCCAGCCAUGCCGCGUGAGUGAAGAAGGCCUUCGGGUUGUAAAGCUCUUUCAGACGGAAAGAAAUCGCCUCUCUUAAUACGGGGGGUGGAUGACGGUACUGUCAGAAGAAGCACCGGCUAACUACGUGCCAGCAGCCGCGGUAAUACGUAGGGUGCGAGCGUUAAUCGGAAUUACUGGGCGUAAAGCGUGCGCAGGCGGUUGUGUAAGACAGGUGUGAAAUCCCCGGGCUUAACCUGGGAACUGCGCUUGUGACUGCACGGCUAGAGUACGGCAGAGGGGGGUGGAAUUCCACGUGUAGCAGUGAAAUGCGUAGAGAUGUGGAGGAACACCGAUGGCGAAGGCAGCCCCCUGGGCCGAUACUGACGCUCAUGCACGAAAGCGUGGGGAGCAAACAGG